AAGUGACAAAACAUUUUACCAGUGUGGCCUGACUAGAAGUUCAUUUGGUCAGAUAUGUCUCCAGUACUGGCCAUAAGUAGAUGUCUGGGAAAGGCAAAGAACACGACAAGAACACAAUACUUUCCCUUUUUCCUUUCUCAGCCUUUUGGGGAAAAAUGGCCUUCAAUCUUUGGCUGACCAGUGUGGUGUACACAUAAACCUCAGCAUUUUCCAUCAGUACCCAUCUCAUGUUUCAGUGCCUAUUUGUACUUUAAUUGUUUCUCGUGACUUGCUGGCUCUGCUGGGCUAGGGCUUACAUGUGGCAGAUCAAGAUCAUUUUGUGAGGCACAUGUCUGCACAGAGUGAAGGACAGCUAUUGCACUGGGAAACAUUAAACCUCUGGUUUAGCUAGACAAAACAGAUUGGAAGGGGAAAAGGCACACAUCAUGGUCUUUGAUUCUUUAAGUUAGGCACUAAUUAUAAACACAUUCCUAAAAUCUGACAGAUAGUACAUUGCUGCACAGUCAUGACAGCAAAACCCUUCAUAGCAAUUUGAAGCUCAAGGAAAUUUCCAUUGCCACAGCACUCGACCUUCUUCACAGGGAAUAGAGAGAAAACAUUUGCUUGCUCUGGGGGAGAGCAGAGCAUGCUGAUGGAGUAGGCUGCACAUCCUUGGCUGGAUGCUGCCACAAACCACUCAGGCAGUAGAGAAAGGGAUACUCCAAGGUCUAGACCAUGUCCAAGAGCCCUCAAAUCCAGGAGCUGAUGCUGCUCAGCAGCUUACUGGAGGAAAGCGCAAAGCUUCGGAAUCAAAUCCCUUGGUUCUGGAGAAUGAUCCUCUCACAGCAGCAAAUGCUUAGCUACAAGGACCAGCAGAAAAGAGACAGACUAAUUCAAACCCUUGAUAAAUACAAGAAGGAUCUUGUAUGUGAUCUUCGUGCCUCACCAGUCAAGUGCAGAAGUAUUUCUCCAAACCAGCAGAAGGUAUGUGAUGUUCUGACAGCGUAAGACCUGUCACAGAGGUGGCAUUGAGCCACAUGAAAAAGCCCAUUUUCCCCUUAGUUAGCUGUGCUCUGUGGUGUGGGGAGUGCCUGUAGCACAGCAGUUAUGUGCAGGUUUGUUCAGUGUGGCUUUUUAUAGUCCAGUCAAGCAGAGAUAAUAUUUGGUCUCAGUUUUGCCACCUGGCAUCUGUCCUCCCACUGAAUUGUUUCUGUCCCUACAUGGCCUACAGUGACAGGUAUCCAUGUUAUGCUGUGUGUUUGUGACUAAAUUGUGUUGAAGAGAACACAGUGUUUUCAAGAGAAUGGUAUUCCAAUAUUUUUCUGUGUAUUCCCACACUUUGCGUUGUUUUAC
rnacentral:lncRNA from 1 species